GGGGAGUGUGACAAGGGCUGAAGGAAGCAGAUGGAAGAGAGCUGGCCCAUGGAAAGGCAGUGUUGGUAAGUCCCUCCUGCAAGCCAGCUCAAGGACCGUUCAGAAAGCAGCUCCAAGUGUUUCCAGCAUGGUGCCCAUGAAUAAUUAACCCAAACAAAGCAACAAACAGUGUUUCCUCAUCAGCGUGCCAUGUGGACCCAGCUGCCAACGGAGGAGGAGUGUGGUGAGACUGACUCAGCUCCUGAGAGCAAUGGAUCAGUGAAAUGCCCAGGAAAAGGGAAUUUCUGCCCGGGCAAUGGAGCUGAGGUGGGCUUUGCUUAGGGCCCCAGAUGGGACAUGGGACAUCCCAGCCUCCUCCUCAGGAUUCUGCAUGCAGUUGCUGCCUUUCUUCAGAGCAGGAGGAGCUGGUUUGGUUGCUGUCCUUCAAAUGAUGCAUCUCAUCACAUGGGAAAGAGUAGGAAAAAACCACCUAGAAAGAGCCACAGGACCAGCAUAAAAAGAGGUGUGGACGAGCGCAAGGAGCAGCACUGAAGCUGUGUCAGGAAGGUGUGUGCUGCAGGAUGGAGAAGUUUGCACCCUCACAGUGCUGCUCUGUGCCUGGCACUGCUGAGCUCUGGGAUCCUGCU
rnacentral:lncRNA from 1 species